UACUGCUUUUUUCUUACCUGUGUUUUUCUUUUUUUGAAAACUUUGCUUUGGUAGGCCUUCUAUAUGGGGCCUGCCAGAGAUUAAACUCAACCAAAUUUUAUUUAAUGUCAACCGAUUAUUUAAUAGUCAAAACUUUCAACAACGGAUCUCUUGGUUCUCGCAUCGAUGAAGAACGCAGCGAAAUGCGAUAAGUAAUAUGAAUUGCAGAUAUUCGUGAAUCAUCGAAUCUUUGAACGCACAUUGCGCCCUUUGGUAUUCCAAAGGGCAUGCCUGUUUGAGCGUCAUUUCUCCCUCAAACCCUCGGGUUUGGUGUUGAGCGAUACGCUGGGUUUGCUUGAAAGAAAGGCGGAGUAUAAACUAAUGGAUAGGUUUUUUCCACUCAUUGGUACAAACUCCAAAACUUCUUCCAAAUUCGACCUCAAAUCAGGUAGGACUACCCGCUGAACUUAAGCAUAUCAAUAAGCGGAGG
rnacentral:rRNA from 1 species